CAGCAGAAAUACAUUGUUAAGCAAAUUUUGCGAGACACUCGGCUUGAAGAUCCAGAAACGAGAACUGCUUCCGCUUCGGGGUCUGUUGAAACGCCAUUCGAAUCGAACACUCCCUUGUUCACUGCAGAAAAUUGGAAUUUGCCACGUCCAUCUCCUGUAGUUCAGGCCUUCAGUGACUAGUAUGAUUUAUAUAUUCCCAUACUCAUGUCCAUUGUGUGAGUCCUGAGUCUUGUUGAAAGCUGUGCUCCUCUUAAUUGGAGCCAUUAGUCAUAUCUAGUUUGAAGAACAUCGACAUUCAUCUUCUCUGAGCUCUACGCUCCUAUGACCAACAUUUUCUUACGCAUAAA